AAUGGAGGAAGUGUAUCUCUGUGGGUGUGAGCUUUGCGAACUUCCUCCUGACUGAGGAUGCUAGUCUUCUAUUGUUUGCCUUCGGAACAAGAGGUAGAACUCUCCGCUCUACCAGCGCCAUCCCUGCCUGGAUGCUGCCAUGCUUCCUGCCAUGAUGAUAAUGGACUGAACGUCCGAACCCUUCUCCAGGCAUGCCCUUGAACGUGGCUUAUAUCACCUGUCCAUCUGAUACUUCAACACCCAAUAAUUCGCUCUGCAACUGUCCUUGUGGAGGAAAGCAUAGUCUCCGAAGCCUUGUUUUGAGCACCUCUUGGGGAGGGCCUCGGACACUGAGAAGAACAUCCACACAGAACUUGUUACACAGCCAAAGAUAACUUUGAACUGCUGAUCCUGUUGCCUGCAUCUCCUAGUGCUAGGACCACAGGCACACGCUCUGUGCCUGGGCUAUGCAGUGUUAGAAUUGAGCGCAGGGCUUUGAGCAUGACAGGUAAGCACCCUUAAGAACUGAGCUGCAUCCCCAGCCCAAACAAACAUUUUUAUUUCCAUGUUAGAAAUGGAGAAGGCAGUUGUGCUGGCUGGUUUUGUGUGUCUACUUGACACAGCUGGAGUUAUCACAGAGAAAGGAGCUUCAGUUGAGGAAAUGCCUCCAUGAGAUCCAUCUGCAAGGUAUUUUCUCAAUUAGUGAUCAAGUGGGGAGGGACCAGCCCAUUGUGGGUGGUGCCAUCUGUGGGCUGGUAGUCCUGGGUUCUAUAAGAAAGCAGGCUGAGUAAGACAGGGGAAGCAAGCUAGUAAGCAGCAUGCUCUAUAGUCUCUGCAUCAGCUCCUGCCUCCAAGUUCUUGCCCUGUGUGAGUUCCUGUCCUGACUACAAUGUAUAAGUGUAAGCUGAGUAAACCCUUCCCUUCUCCAGCUUGCUUCUUGGUCAUGAUGUUUUGUGCAGGAAUAGAAACCCUGACUAAGACAAAUUGGUACCAGCAUAGUUGGGUAUUCCUAUGACAACCUGACCCUGUUUUGGGGAGGACUGUGGAAGGACUUUGAAACUUUGGGCUAGAAGGGCCAUUGGGAUGUUAAGAGCUCUGUGGGAUGUUCUGUAGGAGCUUGGAAGAUAAUGUUGUGAGUGUGCAAACGAUGGAGGCCUGGCUUCUGAAAUCUUAGAGGGAAGAUUAAAGACUCUUAUCAUAGGCCAUUGCUGUUUUGAUUGUGAAGAUUCUGUGGUUUUGGUUAGCUGGGGCUGAAGAAUCAACUGUGAUCAAUAAGAUACCAGAUCUACUAAAGUGAAACCUUUGCAUUACUGGGACUAUUGGUACUGGUUAGCUGGAGCUAAGAAAUCAGCAGUGAUUAAGAAGAGACCAACAUCAUUGAGGUGAAAUCUGGGAAGUGUUUUCUGAGUGCACAAAGAAGUUGUGUUCAGAGAUAGCCAAGGUUGUACCUUGUGCUGCAGCUAGACUUGGUAAUGUGUAACAAUCACCCAGGUGAUACUGGUUUUGAAGGCAGAAGGGGGUCAUGAAGCAGCUGAGGCUUGGCACUGUGAGAGGCCAUGGAAGGCCAUUGGUGAAGGUGCAGCCUCAGUUGCAAUUGAUGGCCUGGGACUGAAGGGGUCAUGCAAAGGAGCUUGGCACCAUGAAGAGAGCCUAUGAGAGGUUACUGGAAGACAGCAGUGUUUUGGAGAAGCCAGUACCUUGAGAUGACCACCAAGAACAGCAGCAGCACAGGCAGUUGGAGCCUAGAAGACAGGGUGCGUGCUACAAAGGGCAGAGCUGGAGAAGUGACCCAAGCCCUUGGAGGAGCCCAGAAGAUGGUGAGUAGGUCCCAGACAUUGGACAGUCAGAGUUUGAUUUUGCUUUUGAUUGUGACUGUGCCCUGAUAUUUUUCCCUCUUGAAGUAAGAAAGUAUUUUAGUGGAGUCUAUAGUUAAAAGACUUUGAAUUUCAAAAGAGAUUGGAUAUUUUAAAGGGAUUGAAAAUUUAAUAUGUUAGAAUUUGUAAAGACUGUGGGACUUUUAAAGUUAUUUAGAUCUUGGAGAUGAACAAGAAAGUAAGCGUUGAGACUUAAUAGUGAUGUGUUUGUGUGUCAAGCUGACAAGGGGUCAGUUGUACUGUUGGUUUUGUGUGUCAACUUGACACAAGCUGGAGUUAUCACAGAGAAAGGAGCCUCCCUUGAGGAAAGGCCUCCAUGAGAUCAGGCGGUAAGGGAUUUUCUCAAUUAAUGAUCAAGUUGGAGAGGCCCCAGCCCACUGUGGGUGGUGCCAUCCCUGACUGGUGGUCAGAAAAAAGCAGAAGUCAGAAUCCCGAAGCAGCAUGGAGUGGGUGGGUGUUCAUCACUGAUGCGUCAUUGGAAUCACAGGCUAACUGCACAGGCAUCUCCUGAAGCUCCUGGCUCAUUUCUUUCCUGUCACACCCCCUGCAGUAGAAUUUGUGUGACAAGUUCCACAGGCUAAGAUGAUAGACCUCAUCAGGAGGAGGUUUCCUGGAACAGGUUGUGGAACUCUUCGCUGGAGAAAAAAUAUUGAGCCUGUAGUUCUCUUGGCAACUUAUCUGUUUUUGUUUUCUAUUCCUUUUCCCAUAUAUGAAAUGUUCCUGAUAGCCUAGGCCAAGAUCUUAAGCGAGUAUUAUGGCUACAAAACCAUCCCAUGAGAUGGAGUCACUAACCAUGCCCUCAUCUCCGGGAAAACCAGGGCUUCGCUUUACAAAUCAUGCAUAAGAUAGCAUUGAUGAAUAUAAACUUCUCCAACAAUAAUAUUUCAUAUGGUUGCAUGUGUGUCAUCGGAAGUAGGUUUUGAUAUAUUAAGAAAGCCUUAAAUAAAAAGAAUUAAAACAGUUUAAAUUUAUGCUUUGAAGAUUUACAGGAAAACAGGAGCUGGCAGUUAAACAGUAACUGACCAUAAAUAUUCAUUAGUUUAUUCUUGGGAAUUUGCCACUAGCCUUAGGUGAUUUUUAUAUUGCGAUGUACCAAAUGAUCAGAGUAAUGUCUGUUGUACCUGGCUGCUUUAUUGAAAACACCCUUUUUGAAGUUGUAAUAUUUGAAUGAUUUUGUAUUUUGUAUCUUGCUGUACCAAAUGAUUAUUGCAAUGUCCCUUCUAUUGUACUGCUUCACUGAACACAGCUUUCCAGAGUUGUAACACUUGUUUCUCUAGGAGUAAAAACCCUUGCUCGAGAGCUGC
rnacentral:lncRNA from 1 species